CUACGGGAGGCAGCAGUGAGGAAUUUUCGGCAAUGGGGGAAACCCUGACCGAGCGACGCCGCGUGAGGGAUGAAGGCCUCCGGUUUGUAAACCUCUGUCUAGAGGGACGAUAAUGACGGUACCUCUGGAGGAAGCCACGGCUAACUACGUGCCAGCAGCCGCGGUAAGACGUAGGUGGCGAGCGUUGUCCGGAAUUACUGGGCGUAAAGGGCGUGUAGGCGGCCUUUUGAGUCAGACGUGAAACCCCUGGGCUCAACCCUGGGACUGCGUUUGAAACUGGGAGGCUUGAGGACAGGAGAGGAAAGCGGAACUCCGUGUGUAGCGGUGAAAUGCGUAGAUAUACGGAAGAGCACCAGUGGCGAAGGCGGCUUUCUGGACUGUCCCUGACGCUGAGGCGCGAAAGCCAGGGGAGCGAACGGGAUUAGAUACCCCGGU
rnacentral:rRNA from 1 species